GCAAUGUGAGAAAUCGCGACGGGGGGAUCCCAAGUGCCAUUCUUAACGGGAUGGCUUUUCAUUAGUGUAAAGAGCUUUUGGAAUAAGAGCUGGGCAAGACCGGUGCCAGCCGCCGCGGUAACACCGGCAGCUCUAGUGGUAGCAAUUUUUAUUGGGCCUAAAGCGUCCGUAGCCGGUUUAAUAAGUCUCUGGUGAAAUCCUGCAGCUUAACUGUGGGAAUUGCUGGAGAUACUAUUAGACUUGAGACCGGGAGAGGUUAGAGGUACUCCCAGGGUAGAGGUGAAAUUCUGUAAUCCUGGGAGGACCGCCUGUUGCGAAGGCGUCUAGCUGGAACGGUUCUGACGGUGAGGGACGAAAGUUAGGGGCGCGAACCGGAUUAGAUACCCGGGUAGUCCUAACUGUAAACGAUGCGGACUUGGUGUUGGGGUGGCUUUGAGCUGCUUCAGUGCCGAAGGGAAGCUGUUAAGUCCGCCGCCUGGGAAGUACGGUCGCAAGACUGAAACUUAA
rnacentral:rRNA from 1 species